rnacentral:lncRNA from 1 species
AAGUAUGCAAGUAUACAGGGCACACUGAGUAAGACGGGAUGAGAUGGUCUUAGAAGUGUUGGAAUCAGGGGACGCUAAUUUUGGUGGUCGUUACACAGCUCGAGUAAUUCGAUCGCCGAUAUUGGUGAUGUUUGGCAAUUUCAGAUAGAUAAUGUGAUGGGUCGCCGAUGUUGGUGACAUAAGAAAACAGUAUUGGUGUGCGUGAGUGGCCUACUAGGGGUCAAGUGAUAGAUGGGUAAAUAAUGGUCGUCGAUACUGGUGACGGAUUGUGUGAGUGGCCUACUGUGGGUCAAGUGAUAGAUGGGUAAAUAAUAGUCGCCGAUACUGGUGACGGAUUGUGUGAGUGGCCUACUAUGGGUCGAGUGAUAUGUGGGUAAAUACUGGUCGCCGAUACUGGUGACGGAUUGUGUGAGUGGCCUACUAUGGGUCGAGUGAUAUGUGGGUAAAUACUGGUCGCCGAUAUUGGUGACAGAUUAUGUGAGUGGCCAACUAGGGGUCGAGUGAUAGAUGGAUAAAUAAUGGUCGCCGAUGCUGGUGACGGAUUGUGUGAGUGGCCUACUAUGGGUCGAGUGAUAGAUGAGUGAAUAAUGGUCGUCGAUGCUGGUGACGAAUGGGAGUAACCGUGUGGGUGAGUGGCCGAGUCAGGGCCUCAGGGUGACGUCCGGGAAAUGAUUACACCUGACAUGAAUGAUGAUUAACUACUAGGGAGAUGUAGUAAUACUGUAAGGAUAGAGGGUAGAAAGAAAGCAUGACUUACAUAGCGAGAGGGGAAAUCACAUAAGAACGGGGCUUAGUUGGGCCUUUAUACUAUAUUUGUGAUUUAAAUUUACUAUACUGAGUUGUGUGUACUCACUCCAUAUUAUUUACAGAUGAAGCAGGACCGGAGUCACCAGUUCUCGAACCUAAUCGAUAGAAGAAUUGGAGCAGGGUUACUACUGGUAGAAUUGAAAACUUACACAGUUGCUAGUAAUGGAAAUUGCAUGUAAUUCAAGGAUGCAGGCAUUUGUACUAUGCUGUAAUGAUACGUGUACGGUUGAGAGUCCCUA